GGAUCCAUCAUAGCUCAGUGGCAGAUUACCUGCUUCGCAUGCAGAACAUCCCAGGUUAGAUCCCUGGCGUGUCCA